rnacentral:misc_RNA from 1 species
GAAAUGCGAUAAGUAGUGUGAAUUGCAGAAUUCAGUGAAUCAUCGAAUCUUUGAACGCACAUUGCGCCUUCCGGCAUUCCGGGAGGCAUGCCUGUUCGAGCGUCAUCAAACACCAUCGUGCGAAUGAAUUUAUUUUCUCUUCGCACGGAAAUGGCUUGGAGCGGUAAAACGGAAAAAUAUUUAUAUUUUUGCCCUUUCUUUCGCCCCUCGUCGAAAUUGAUCCGGGCGGAAUUUGGGAUCGGGUUCCUCGGCGUAGUGUACCAAUGCAUAUUCAUGCAACUUGCCGCGGAGUUGAGCCUGUCCCACGCGUUCUUGCCGUUCAACAGCCCAACGCGGGCUACUUUACAAGUUUUUGACCUCGGAUCAGGUAGGGAUACCCGCUGAACUUAA